GCAAGCGUGGCAUAGUGGUUUGACCUUUGGCCUACAAUACUGGAGACCAGGGUUCGAUUCCCUGCUUGGCC